CCCAGUGUUCAGACUACCUG
rnacentral:ncRNA from 2 species